rnacentral:rRNA from 1 species
CCUACGGGAGGCAGCAGUGGGGAAUUUUGGACAAUGGGGGCAACCCUGAUCCAGCCAUGCCGCGUGAGUGAAGAAGGCCUUCGGGUUGUAAAGCUCUUUCGGACGGAAAGAAAUCGCGCAGGUAAAUAAUCUGCGUGGAUGACGGUACCGUAAGAAGAAGCACCGGCUAACUACGUGCCAGCAGCCGCGGUAAUACGUAGGGUGCGAGCGUUAAUCGGAAUUACUGGGCGUAAAGCGUGCGCAGGCGGCUUUGUAAGACAGGUGUGAAAUCCCCGGGCUUAACCUGGGAAUGGCGCUUGUGACUGCAAGGCUCGAGUGCGGCAGAGGGGGGUGGAAUUCCACGUGUAGCAGUGAAAUGCGUAGAGAUGUGGAGGAACACCGAUGGCGAAGGCAGCCCCCUGGGUCGACACUGACGCUCAUGCACGAAAGCGUGGGGAGCAAACAGGAUUAGAUACCCUGGUAGUCCACGCCCUAAACGAUGCCAACUAGUUGUUGGGGAAGGAGACUUCCUUAGUAACGAAGCUAACGCGUGAAGUUGGCCGCCUGGGGAGUACGGUCGCAAGAUUAAAACUCAAAUGAAUUGACGG